GAAAAGUUCUUCCUUGAAACAAGAAUGGGUAGGGAGGGAGAGGAGAAGUAGAAACAAAUCCUUCUGACCUUGAAGAUCUUCCCUACCCUGCAAAAAGAGGUUGAGAGAGAGCAUUGAACUUGGGGCUAGAAGACCUGGAGUCCACGUGAUUUGGGGGCUGCCAUAACAACGUACCUCAAACUGCGUGGCUUAAACAACAGAAAUGUAUUUUCUCACAGCUCUGGAGCUGGAAGUCUGAGUCCAAGGUGCUGGCAGGAAUUUAUCCUGACGGAUAACCAGGGAAAUGUACAAGAAUGUCCAUCAUAUUAUUGUUCAUAAUGAUGAAAAAUUGGAAGCCAUCUUAAUGUCCAUCAUUAGAGAACACUGAUUUACUUAGACAUUGAAUAUUAUGCAACCCUAAAAAAGGUACUUCUUCAUGCACAUUGCCAGCAUGAUGUCCACAACAGCCAGGAG
rnacentral:lncRNA from 1 species